GACGAACGCUGGCGGCGUGCUUAACACAUGCAAGUCGAACGGUAAGGCCCUUCGGGGUACACGAGUGGCGAACGGGUGAGUAACACGUGGGUGAUCUGCCCUGCACUUCGGGAUAAGCCUGGGAAACUGGGUCUAAUACCGGAUAGGACCACUGCCUGCAUGGGUGGUGGUGGAAAGCUUUUGCGGUGUGGGAUGGGCCCGCGGCCUAUCAGCUUGUUGGUGGGGUGAUGGCCUACCAAGGCGACGACGGGUAGCCGGCCUGGGAGGGUGACCGGCCACACUGGGACUGAGAUACGGCCCAGACUCCUACGGGAGGCAGCAGUGGGGAAUAUUGCACAAUGGGCGCAAGCCUGAUGCAGCGACGCCGCGUGAGGGAUGACGGCCUUCGGGUUGUAAACCUCUUUCAGCACAGACGAAGCGCAAGUGACGGUAUGUGCAGAAGAAGGACCGGCCAACUACGUGCCAGCCGCCGCCGUAA
rnacentral:rRNA from 1 species